rnacentral:rRNA from 1 species
GGAAUAUUGGACAAUGGGCGAAAGCCUGAUCCAGCAAUGCCGCGUGAGUGAUGAAGGCCUUAGGGUUGUAAAGCUCUUUUACCCGGGAUGAUAAUGACAGUACCGGGAGAAUAAGCCCUGGCUAACUCCGUGCCAGCAGCCGCGGUAAUACGGAGGGGGCUAGCGUUGUUCGGAAUUACUGGGCGUAAAGCGCACGUAGGCGGCUUUGUAAGUUAGAGGUGAAAGCCCGGAGCUCAACUCCGGAACUGCCUUUAAGACUGCAUCGCCUGAACGUUGGAGAGGUGAGUGGAAUUCCGAGUGUAGAGGUGAAAUUCGUAGAUAUUCGGAAGAACACCAGCGGCGAAGGCGACUCACUGGACAACUGUUGACGCUGAGGUGCGAAAGCGUGGGGAGCAAAC